AGAAAGUGAGAGAGCUCUUUCAAGGGUAGAGACAUUGGAGUUUGGGGGAAGAAACGCAUUGUCGUUUGCACUUCGAGGAAGGACACUCUAUUUAGUAUUUAGUUAUUUACUACCAUUAUUACUACUAAAACCCUCUCAUGCUUCUGCGUUUUCUGGGGUUUCUCGCUCAGACGUCGUUCUGCUGCUAAACGACGGCACCGACACUCCUUUUCUUCUUCUACAAGCUAUAAACGACAUCACUUUUACUUGCUUUUCUCGUUUCCCCGUCUCUCGCCUUCCUCCAUGCUGUAAAGGUGAGACGAAGAAUUUGCUCAACUGCAAUCACUUUUGAAGAAAGGUAGUAGAUUGUUUCCAGAGUGGGAGUUCGGAAAGUCUAUGCAGUUGAUAUUAGGUUAGAACAUAGUUUAACCAUCUGCCAGCAUGAGCAGAAAACUUAGUGAUAGUUCAAAGCCAGAGAAAUCUUUUUUGUCAUAUGCUGAUCUUCAUCAUGAAAUCACCAAAAGUGAGGAAGAGAUUUCAUUAGAAUCCAAUGAUAAUCAUCUAAAGCAAGAGGACUGUAGAAUGGCAAGCGAGGAAGAUGAGCUGGUGAAGUACAUGUCAAAGUUGCCUGGCUAUUUAGAGAGAGGUGUAAAUAUUAAUGAGAAGGUUUUGAAUGUUGGGGUCCUAGACUGGGCUCGUCUGGAGCAAUGGAAGUGUAGCUAUAAGCACGUACCUGAUAGAAGUAGCCAGAGCUUGUCAUCUACUAGUCAUACAUCAUCUUCUACAUCAGCAGAUGGAUUCUCUGGUAAGUCUAACAGAGGUCCUAGUUUGUCUCCUUGUCAAAGGAUAUUCCGUCCAUCAAUUCAAUCUCACUCUGCGGCAUCUUCAGUGCAAGAGAACCCUGGAGUUGUAAAAUCCUUUGGAGGAGGUGUUGGGAAUUUUCAGAAUGUUGGAGGAGGUCGCCAUAGUAACGGUGUCACAAAUGGCAAACAUGUUCGAGCUGGUGAUCAUCUUCCCCAAAACUAUCCUACCAUUAUACCCAAAGUAUGCAAAAGGGAAAGUACAAAUCCAUAUAAUGAUAGGGAAAGUGGCAUCUUGCCAAAUGUCCGUGGGUAUGAGACAGCAUCAUGUACUAAGCUGGAAAUCAACAAGCAAAAUGGUGGAUCGGAAAAGAGAGUGGAGAAUUUGAGCAAAUCAAAUAUUGAUACUGUUGACCAGGGUGCAGUCAGGGAAAGCAAACCCAUUGUCGUUCUUUUGCCUAGAGACAACCCCCAAAACAGUCAUUGUGCAGCUCCUAAUAUGCAAACAUCCUCAGAUUUUAAGUUAGGAACUCCUUCUCUGACAAAAUAUUCAGAAAAAGUUAAGGAACAUUCCCACAAACAUGCCUGUCAUCUGUCAAAUGAAGUUAGCAGUAGCUGUUCACAGUUUAAAGGGUCAGGAUCUAGUCCCACAGAUCUAGAAAGCAUCAAAGUUCCAGCCUCUACCAUUUCUGCACCAUUUCCUGUAAAAGGGGGAAUAAGCCCAUGCAAAUCUAGAAAGACUGAGGAAAGGAAACAAACAAUUGCCACAACUUUAUCUGCUAAUGGGCCUCCCCAUGGAAUAAAUCAGAAAGUAACUACUGAGAAGUCAAGAAGCUCCUCGCCUUUUCACCGCCUAGGCAUCAGCAUUGGCUUUACUAGCAAAUCUGGCUGUAAGGACACUUCACAUGUGCCACAUCAGAGCUCUUCAGCAACUCUUAAAUCUAGUUCAGAACAUGUCAGGGGUUAUGCUAGGUCCAACAUAUCGGGCAAUGAUAGAGCUGGGGAUGCUGCCAAAGGCAGGACCAGCCCUUUAAGGAGGUUAUUGGAUCCACUGCUAAAACCAAAGGCAGCAACUUCCAGUCACUCCAUGGAGUCAUCUCAGAAAGAUUCAAUGUUAAUAAAUAAGAAUUCCAGGUUAAGUAAUGAGAAAAUCUCUAUUCUUAUGCCUGAAAGAGAAUCGGACAGGGACCACAGGGUAGGUUGUGCCACAAUAAAUGCUGCUAAUUCAUCAAAGGAAAAGAAAUACAUGGCAUCAACGUUUCAAGGUCUUUUGAGAAUUGCUGUGAAAAAUGGCCAGCCCCUUUUCACAUUUGCUGUUGACAACAAUAGCAACAUUCUAGCAGCCACUGUGAAGAGCUUACCUGUCUCAGCAGAGGAUGAAUGCAAAUGUAUAUAUACCUUUUUUACCUUUAGGGAAAAUAAGAAGAAGAAUGGAAUUUGGAUGAAUCAAACAGGCAAAAGCAAAGGUCCUGAUUACAUUCACCAUGUUGUUGCCCAGAUGAAGGUUUCUGAUUUGCACCAUUAUGAUUCAGCCAGUCAGAACUUUGUGAACUCUUCAGCGAAAGAGUUUGUUUUGUUUUCAGUAAAGCCAAGGCAGGGUGAUUCUCAGGUCACUGACUACCAGCCAAAUGAUGAGCUUGCUGCUAUUGUUGUCAAAUCACCUAGAGCCAUCAACGUCAUGAAGUACGAGCAUCAGAGCAGUUGUCAAAAUGACAUUAUUAAAAACAAUGUAGGGGUAACAGUGGUGCUUCCUGGUGGUGUUCACAGUCUUCCAAGUAAUGGUGGGCCUUCUUCACUAAUUGAGCGAUGGAAAACAGGUGGAUCAUGUGAUUGUGGUGGUUGGGAUUUGGCUUGCAAACUUAAGAUUUUUGCAAAUGAAAAACAUACCUGUGGAAAAUCAGGAACGUCCAAAGCUUAUCUUUCAGAUCGAUUUGAGCUUUUCCUCCAGGGGAAUGACCAAGACCAAGGACACCAACCUGCUUUCAGUUUUUCCCCAUUCAGACCUGGUAUAUAUUCAGUAGCUUUUGAUUCGUCGCUCUCACACUUGCAAGCUUUCUCCGUCUGCAUUUCGCUAGUGGAUGGCAGGAUGCCAUAUGAACUUUGUCGAUCAAGAGACUCCACUGGAGUAAAAAACCUGAGAGAAAUGAUGUUGGCACAAACAGAAGAAUUAAAGGCUUUUGGUACUUCGGAGGACACUCCUGCAAGUUAUGUGGCUUAUCCUCCUCUCUCUCCUGUUGGUAGAGUCUAAAGUUAAACAUGGAGUAGAGUCUAAUUCUGAUAUUUCCUUAACUGCAUUGAAUGUGCAAUAAGAGAAACCAGAAAAGAAUGGUUUUCCCACAGAGAUUAGCAUCAGUUGCUCGAAUCUACCGCAUAUAGAUAAUAGCUUCACGAGUUCAUGACUUGAUCUGUUGUGGCAAAGCGGAAUAUGAGAGAAGAAUGAUAAUCCCUUUUUACUCCAUUCUUCCAACAGAAGCAGUGUCUCAAAGGUCAAAGACUCAAAGCACUCCAUUUCCAUGCAAAUGACGUACUCCUCAGCCAGAACAAGCUCUUUAGUGAAAAACACACAAACCCAGGGCUCUUAUCUUCAAUUUGAUAUAUCUAAAAAUACAAAAGCCACAAACACAGCUAAAGCAUGUCACGGAACCAAAACUAACUUCUUGUAAGCAAUCCACAUAUCCAGUGAACUCAUCUUUUUCUGUUUGGCUUUUGAGGAUCGAAGAACAUUCCAGUCCAGCUUAUCUACAUUUGGUUUUCUGAAAGAGCCGAAACUAUUUUCUGGAGCAGAAUGAUUAUCAUCAUCAUCAUCAUCAUUUUUUGGUGAUUUGUUUGGAUAUUGAUCUUCACAAUUUACUUCAGACUGUUUCCUCUUCACCAUUGCCAUUGACACGUUCCGAACCUUCUGUUGUGGAGUUGUUUUCUCUGAAACAAUGAAUCAAAUUUAA